rnacentral:piRNA from 1 species
UAAGCGGGUGACUAUAUAAUUCAUAACA